rnacentral:lncRNA from 14 species
UUAAGCAGAGCUUUACUUAUGUAUGUUUGCUCUGUGUCUGAUAGAGCAAGGUUUGGCUGGAAUGAAAUGGCAGGAUGGGACAGAGAAAGGGGCACAGUCCCAGCAUUCGUUCAUCUCUAUUGCCAAGUCUAAAGGUGUAUGCUUUGGAGUUGCUCUCUGACCAGGUUGCUGAAGGCAGAAUGUCACCAGCAGAGAAGCAUAAAUGUUUCGAAAAGCAAUAUCAGUCUUCUUGUCUCACUCUAACCACCAACAGCUGGAGAACAGGCAGCAGAAAGGCAAGAGGAUCAUGUCUCAUGGACACAUGAGCAUAAGCUUGAAGCUUAGCAAACCUUCCAGGGAAAGCUAUUUUUACCAAAUUGUUGAACAAUGCAGCUAAGCAGCAACAGAAGAGGACCUGACAGGGUGGGAUAGAAAAAGUGGGGGGAAGAGAAACGGAUGUUUAAAAGCAGUCACAGAGAUUUCGGACUUUCUUGCUAUGGCUUCAGACCCCAGGAUAACUGGAUUCUUCGUUAUUCAACAGAAAUGCUAGGCAAGGCAGCAGUGUUGUGGGAACAUGUCCCAUUGUAAUUUAUGGCUCUAAAUGGUGAUGGGACAGUGCCCAUAUCUGUAUGAUCUCAUAUUGUAUGUGGUUGGGAAAUGGAAAUGUUUGAUCUCAUUCAGAAGACAAGGAGUGUCCCACAGCCACCUUCAUUUCACCCACUCUUGCAUCUGCUGAAGCAUCUGGUGGCAGAUAGUGCUGGAGACAUCACAGAAGACAUGUUAGAGAGCUAGUCUGGCUCAGGAUAAAAGUUUCUGUGUUUUUCCAUGCUGCAUAGUAUAGG